rnacentral:rRNA from 1 species
GACGAACGCUGGCGGCGUGCCUAAUACAUGCAAGUAGAACGCACGGUUUAUACCGUAGCUUUCUACACCAUAGCCUGUGAGUUGCGAAUGGGUAAUUAACGCGUAUGUAACCUGCCUGGUAGCGGGGGAUAACUAUUGGAAACGAUAUCUAAUACCUCAUAAUAUUAAUUAUUCCAUGAUAAUUAAUUGAAAGGUGCAAUUGCACCACUACCAUAUGGACCUGCGUUGUAUUAGCUAGUAGGGGAGGUAACGGCUCACCUAGGGGAAGACACAUAGCCGGCCUGAGGAGGUGGUCGGGCAAAAUGGGAAUGGGACCAGGGCCAAGACUCUUAGGGGGGGAGCAGGAGGGGAUUUUCGGCAAUGGACGGAAGUCUGGACGAGCAAAGCCGGGUGAGGGAAGGAGGUUCUCGGAUCGGAAAGCUCUGUUGUAAGAGAAGAAAGGGUGUGAGAGUGGAAAGUUCACACUGUGACGGUAUCUUACCAGAAAGGGACGGCUAACUACGUG